UAUACAUGCAAGUCGAGCGGACAGAUGGGAGCUUGCUCCCUGAUGUUAGCGGCGGACGGGUGAGUAACACGUGGGUAACCUGCCUGUAAGACUGGGAUAACUCCGGGAAACCGGGGCUAAUACCGGAUGGUUGUUUGAACCGCAUGGUUCAAACAUAAAAGGUGGCUUCGGCUACCACUUACAGAUGGACCCGCGGCGCAUUAGCUAGUUGGUGAGGUAACGGCUCACCAAGGCAACGAUGCGUAGCCGACCUGAGAGGGUGAUCGGCCACACUGGGACUGAGACACGGCCCAGACUCCUACGGGAGGCAGCAGUAGGGAAUCUUCCGCAAUGGACGAAAGUCUGACGGAGCAACGCCGCGUGAGUGAUGAAGGUUUUCGGAUCGUAAAGCUCUGUUGUUAGGGAAGAACAAGUACCGUUCGAAUAGGGCGGUACCUUGACGGUACCUAACCAGAAAGCCACGGCUAACUACGUGCCAGCAGCCGCGGUAAUACGUAUGUGGCAAGCGUUGUCCGGAAUUAUUGGGCGUAAAGGGCUCGCAGGCGGUUUCUUAAGUCUGAUGUGAAAGCCCCCGGCUCAACCGGGGAGGGUCAUUGGAAACUGGGGAACUUGAGUGCAGAAGAGAGAGUGGAAUUCCACGUGUAGCGGUGAAAUGCGUAUAGAUGUGGGAGGAACACCAGGUGGCGAAAGCGACUCUCUGGUCUGUGAUCUGACGCUCAGAGCGAAAUCGUGGGGAGCGA
rnacentral:rRNA from 1 species